rnacentral:rRNA from 1 species
UACGUAGGGUCCGAGCGUUGUCCGGAAUUAUUGGGCGUAAAGCGCACGUAGGCGGUCUGUUAUGUUGGAUGUGAAAGCCCUUGGCUCAACUAAGGAAGUGCAUCCGAAACUGGCAGGCUAGAGUACGUAAGAGGGUCGCGGAAUUCCCGGUGUAGAGGUGAAAUUCGUAGAUAUCGGGAGGAACACCGGUGGCGAAGGCGGCGACCUGGGACGAUACUGACGCUGAGGUGCGAAAGCGUGGGGAGCAAACAGG